rnacentral:rRNA from 1 species
CCCUUAGAUGUUCUGGGCCGCACACGCGCUACACUGAUGCAUUCAACGAGUUUCUUCCUGGUCCGAGAGGAAUGGGUAACCUUUUGAAAGUGCAUCGUGAUAGGGAUAGACUAUUGCAAUUAUUGGUCUUCAACGAGGAAUUCCUAGUAGACGUAGUUCAUCAGACUGCAUCGAUUACGUCCCUGCCCUUUGUACACACCGCCCGUCGCUCCUACCGAUUGAAUGCUCAGGUGAGCCAUUCGGACUUUCAUCAUGCUGGUUUCCAGUUUUGAUGAAGGAAAGUCUUGCGAACCUUAUCAUUUAGAGGAAGGAGAAGUCGUAACA